rnacentral:lncRNA from 1 species
UUUUGAUAAAAUUCUUUUGUGCAUUACAUUUUGCCGUUUCCAAAUUCCAUACGCAUGUUCACCAAGUGUAUCAAUACCGCUCUUCACCACUAGAUGGAAACCAAGCCUGCACUUUUGCCAGAUUCAGCAAAACAGGAUUUUAAGUCAGUCAGAUAUUCUAGAAUUUUGACUUAGUUUGAAUAACGGAGACAGUAAAACAUAAAUAUGCUCUCAUGGCUUUUAAAUUUCCAUGUGGAAACAAAGCCAGUGGAAACAUGUCUGGCCGGUUAAAGACUGAGAGUGGUGGCCGUGGCAACAGAUGCUGCUGGGUGUUUUUUCUUCGACACCCACUGCACGUGGCUGAGGUUGGAGCGUUGGCAGGCCGGCUGCUCACCACAGUCAUCCUGGCACCGGACCUCACAAGGGCCUGAGUCUGUUAAUCCUAUUACAAAUGUGUGAAUACCAGCUGGGACAACGAGGAGGGGAGGGAGAGGACAGUGGGACGUGUGUGUGUGUGUGUGUGUGUGUGUGUGUGUGUGUGUGUGUGUGUGUGUGUGUGUGUUUGUGUGUGAAAGAGUGUAUGUAUUGAAUACAUAAAGAUUAAUUUGCACAGCCCAAAUCUGGAACCUCCUCUUUUUUACUAGUAUGUGAGAAUGUUUUUGACAUACAUGGCCCUUACUUUUUAAUUACUGUGUGUGUGUGUGUGAGUGAGAGAGAGAGAGAGAGAGAGGGAGAGAGAGAGAAAGAGAGAGCAAGAGAGAGAGAGAGAGAGACAGAGAGUCUGAGGUAAGUACUAAGAGCAACCCCAUUUUUACCAGUAUGGUAUGUUUUUGACAGGGACAGGAGAGGCCUUACCUUUUUAACUACUGUGUGUGUGUGUGUGAGAGAGAGAGAGAGAGAAAAAGACAGAAAGAGAAAGACAGAGAGUCAGAGGUAAGUUCUAAAAGGACCCCCCUUUUUUUACAGGUAUGGUGAGUAUGUUUUUGACUGGGACAAAGAUGGGCCUUACCUUUUUAAAUACUGUGUGUGUGUGUGUGUGUGAGAGAGGGAGAGAGAGAGAGACGGAGAGAGAGACAGAGAGUCAGAGGUAACUGCUAAGAGGUGUGUAAGGCAGACAGCAGUGGGACAGGCCCAGUGUGUUUCCUCAAGAGUUCAAGCACCAAAAAAAUAAAUAAGUCUUUUGAUCACA